rnacentral:rRNA from 1 species
AUGGACACCAACGCCGCCUGGCCGCAGUUUGACGGGCAAGAGUACAGGACGGUGUGGCCGGAGGAGCAGGAGUACCGGACGGUGUGGUCGGAGCCGCCGAAGCGGCGGGCGGGGCGGAACAAGUUGCAGGAGACACGCCACCCAGUGUACCGCGGCGUGCGCCGCCGUGGCCGGGAAGGGCAGUGGGUGUGCGAGCUGCGCGUGCCGGCCGGAAGCCGGAGUUACUCCAGGAUCUGGCUUGGCACCUUCGCCAGUGCCCAGAUGGCGGCGCGCGCGCACGACUCGGCCGCGCUCGCGCUCUCCGGCCGCGACGCGUGCCUCAACUUCGCCGACUCCGCCUGGCGGAUGAUGCCCGUCCACGCAGCCGGGUCGUUCAAGUUGGCCGCCGCGCAGGAGAUCAAGGACGCCGUCGCCGUGGCCCUCAAGGAGUUCCAGGAGCAGCAGCGCCCUGCCGACGAGUCAACGGCGCCGUCGUCCACGGCCGAGGAGAGCGCGCUCUCCAUCAUCCCCAGCGACCUGUCGGGGCUCGACAAUGAGCACUGGAUCGGCGGCAUGGAGGCCGGGUCGUACUACGCGAGCUUGGCGCAGGGGAUGCUCAUGGAGCCGCCGGCCGACGGAGCUUGGCGGGAGGACCGCGAACACGACGACGGAUUCGACACGUCGCUGUGGAGCUACUAG